AUUUGACAUUAGCAUAAAUAAGACAAGUUGACAAAAUACAAAAAUAAAGAAAUAUAUUGUCAGAAUUGAGAUGGGCAGAAUCUGUGAUACACAGUAACGACAAUUGCCUUAUAAACAAUGUGUUUAUAAUUCGGUAUGGGUUUGUGUUUUACCAGAAAAGACAACUGUCAUGUGCCUCACAGUUAAUCAAUAAUUAAUCUUUAGGUAAAUACUCUAUUCGUCUUGUAAACGAUAAAAAAACAUUUAGGUAUACUAUUAUAGAUAAAAAACUUAUGUGGAUCACUAACAUUAAGUAUGUCAAAAAAA
rnacentral:lncRNA from 1 species